rnacentral:lncRNA from 1 species
ACUCUAAACACUGAUACCGAACUACGGAGAGAUGAUUUCAUGCUGUGGAUGGUGGGAGACACUGUCAUUGCUGAGAUCAGUCAAACAGCCCAACGGUUCCCUACAUCUGAAGGUACCGAGAGAUUCAGAGACAGACUGAAUCUGGAUCAUCAGACUGGAUCUCUGAACAUCACAAACACCAGAAGAACCACAGACUCUGGUCUUUAUGAACUGAAGAUCAGCAGCAGCAGACACACCAUACUCAGGAGAAUCAUUGUCACUGUCACUGCCAGUGUCAGUGCUCUUUGUUAUUCAGGUACUCCGUCUACAACUUGUGUAUGGAUUAAUUGUGUUAUUGGUGCUCUGGGGGUUCUAGCUGUAGUUCUUGUAGUGAAACACUAUCACAACAAGAUCUCUGAACUAGAAAGACGUUUGGAAGAGAAUGGAAAAAAACUUAAGAAACAGGACACAGAUGAUCCUGCGAAUGAAGAGACUAAAUUGACCAACGAUCCUUGAAACAGAGAACAGCAGUAGUUUAUAGUCACUAUACAGUAACAAUAUACACGAAAUGUGUAUGAAGUCG